GAUGAACGCUGGCGGCGUGCCUAAUACAUGCCAGUCGAGCGAACAGACGAGGAGCUUGCUCCUCUGACGUUAGCGGCGGACGGGUGAGUAACACGUGGAUAACCUACCUAUAAGACUGGGAUAACUUCGGGAAACCGGAUCUUAUACCGGAUAAUAUAUUGAACCGCAUGGUUCAAUAGUGAAAGACGGUUUUGCUUUCACUAAUAGAUUGAUCCGCGCCGCAUUAGCUAGUUGGUAAGGUAACGGCUUACCAAGGCAACGAUGCGUAGCCGACCUGAGAGGGUGAUCGGCCACACUGGAACUGAGACACGGUCCAGACUCCUACGGGAGGCAGCAGUAGGGAAUCUUCCGCAAUGGGCGAAAGCCUGACGGAGCAACGCCGCGUGAGUGAUGAAGGUCUUCGGAUCGUAAAACUCUGUUAUUAGGGAAGAACAAAUGUGUAAGUAACUAUGCACGUCUUGACGGUACCUAAUCAGAAAGCCACGGCUAACUACGUG
rnacentral:rRNA from 1 species